AAUUGUGUUUCGUUGUUUGUGAUCAGGUAGACGGGUACUCCAAAUCGGGUGAUUACAUUUUUCCAUAGGAACUUUUGACACUGCUGAGAGGUGAUAGUUGUCAAUGUUUUCGCCUCCACCCACUUGGUGAAGUUGUCGAUGGUCACUAUCACAUAUUUCUUUCGAUCGGCCUCCAUUGGGAAUGCCCCGGUCAGGUCAACCCCCAUAUUGCGAAUGGUAUUACUUCGCUGACCGGUUGAUAGUAGGUAGCCCGUCGACCGGGUAACUUGGGAAAUUCUGGACAAGU